GCUGGGUGUGGUGGCGGACGCCUAUAAUCCCAGCGGCCCCAGGAGGCUGAGACAGGAGGAUUGCGAGUUCAAAGCCAGCCUCAGCAAUGGCAAGAUGCAAAGCAACUUAGUGAGACCCUGUCUCUA
rnacentral:sRNA from 1 species